UCCCUGGUGGCUCAGACAGUAAAGCAUCUGCCUACAAUGCAGGAGACCCUGGUUCGAUCCCCGGGUCAGGAA
rnacentral:tRNA from 1 species